AUGGGUCAAAUAAAGGAGUUGUAUGAGGGUGACGAAGACUUUGGCCAUGUUUGGGUAAAGCACGCAAGGGGCCAACCAUUAGGUGAUGACUAUUUGAUGCAAGAUGGAUAUCUCUUCAAAAAUGAUCGUUUGUGCAUUCCAAGAAGUUCUCUACGUGACAAGCUGGUUAGAGAGCUCCAUUCAAGUGAUCUUAGUGGCCAUGUUGGACGGGACAAGACUAUCGCUAACCUGGAAGCUCGCUACUUUUGGCCACAACUAAAGAGAGAUGCUGGAAAGUUCGUUCAACGGUGCCCCGUAUGUCAGACCUACAAAGGCCAAGUCCAGAACACAGGGUUAUACAUGCCUUUGCCUGUUCCUGUUGCUCCAUGGGAGGACAUUUCUAUGGACUUCGUCUUGGGCUUGCCAAGAACAAGACGAGGAAGUGAUGAUGUAUUUGUGGUCGUGGAUAGAUUCUCUAAGAUGGCUCAUUUCAUCCCAUGCCGCAAGACAACGGAUGCUCAUCAUGUGGCAAACCUAUUCUUUCGAGAAGUGGCCAGACUUCAUGGAGUUCCAAGGUCCAUUGUCUCAGACCGUGAUAGCAAGUUUCUUGCUGCAUUUUGGCUCACUUUGUGGAAGCAAUUCAACACUGAAUUGAAAUUUUCUAGCACUGCUCAUCCACAAACAGAUGGACAAACGGAAGUGGUGAACAAGUUUUUGGGUAAUCUGAUCCGUUGCAUUUGUGGAGAAAGAAAGGGGCAAUGGGAUUUGGCUUUAUCUCUCGCAGAGUUCUCCUACAAUAACUCCAAGCAUAGAUCCACAGGAAGGAGCCCUUUUUCCAUUGUCUACACUAAAGUUCCAACACAUGUGGUGGACCUGGUGAAGCUGCCAUCAAGGGGAAACUCAAAAUCAGCAUUGUCCUUUGCUGAUAAUUACACGGAGUUAUUUGAAGAGAUUCGCGGCGCUUUGGAAGCACAAAAUCAGAAAUAUAAACAACUUGCUGAUUGCAAAAAGAGGCCAAAAUCAUUCCAAGUCGGUGAUAAGGUGAUGGUCUACCUCCAAAAAGAGAGGCUGCCUUUAGGUGUUAAAGGGAAACUUAGGCAGCGAAGAAGAAGCGCUCUAUGA
rnacentral:rRNA from 1 species